rnacentral:rRNA from 1 species
CCUACGGGAGGCAGCAGUGGGGAAUAUUGCACAAUGGGGGAAACCCUGAUGCAGCGACGCCGCGUGAGUGAAGAAGUACUUCGGUAUGUAAAGCUCUAUCAGCAGGGAAGAAAAUGACGGUACCUGAGUAAGAAGCCCCGGCUAACUACGUGCCAGCAGCCGCGGUAAUACGUAGGGGGCAAGCGUUAUCCGGAUUUACUGGGUGUAAAGGGAGCGCAGACGGUUGCGCAAGUCUGAAGUGAAAUCCCGAGGCUUAACCACGGGACUGCUUUGGAAACUGUGCGACUUGAGUAUCGGAGGGGCAGGCGGAAUUCCUAGUGUAGCGGUGAAAUGCGUAGAUAUUAGGAAGAACACCGGUGGCGAAGGCGGCCUGCUGGACGAAAACUGACGUUGAGGCUCGAAGGCGUGGGGAGCAAACAGGAUUAGAUACCCUGGUAGUC